rnacentral:rRNA from 1 species
UACGUAGGGUGCGAGCGUUAAUCGGAAUUACUGGGCGUAAAGCGUGCGCAGGCGGUUCGUUGUGUCGGCGGUGAAAGCCCCGGGCUCAACCUGGGAAUGGCCGUUGAAACUGGCGAACUGGAGUGUGGCAGAGGGGGGUGGAAUUCCGCGUGUAGCAGUGAAAUGCGUAGAGAUGCGGAGGAACACCGAUGGCGAAGGCAGCCCCCUGGGCUGACGCUGACGCUCAGGCACGAAAGCGUGGGGAGCAAACAGG